GAUCCUGGCUCAGGACGAACGCUGGCGGCGCGCCUAACACAUGCAGGUCGAACGAGCGAUGGAGAGCUUGCUUUCCAGAGCGAGUGGCGAACGGGUGAGUAACGCGUGAGGAACCUGCCUCAAAGAGGGGGACAACAGUUGGAAACGACUGCUAAUACCGCAUAAGCCCACGGCUCGGCAUCGAGCAGAGGGAAAAAGGAGUGGUCCGCUUUGAGAUGGCCUCGCGUCCGAUUAG
rnacentral:rRNA from 1 species